rnacentral:rRNA from 1 species
UGGGGAAUUUUCCGCAAUGGGCGCAAGCCUGACGGAGCGAUACCGCGUGAGGGAGGAAGGCUUUUGGGUUGUAAACCUCUUUUCUCAAGGAAGAAGCACUGACGGUACUUGAGGAAUCAGCAUCGGCUAACUCCGUGCCAGCAGCCGCGGUAAUACGGAGGAUGCAAGCGUUAUUCGGAAUUAUUGGGCGUAAAGCGUCCGCAGGUGGUAAGGCAAGUGGGGUGUGAAAGCCGCCAGCUUAACUGGCGGAGGCCAUCCCAAACUGCUUCACUUGAGGCCUGUAGAGGUAUGUGGAAUUGCCGGUGUAGUGGUGAAAUGCGUAGAGAUCGGCAGGAAAACCCAGGGGGAAACCAGCAUACUGGACAGGACCUGACACUCAGGUGCGACAGCGUGGGGAGCGAACCGGAUUAGAUACCCGCGUAGUCC